AUCCUUUACACAAACGUGAAUGACAAUGAUAAUAGUGUCACCACCAAACAAUCGGACAUUCCCGAUUUUUGCCUCUCGCUGACAGCAUCCAAAAUAUGCAAUAUUAAAGAUGUCAUGGGUGCAAAGGUUUUGUUCGCAAACUUCAUAGCAGGGCAGACCACUCCUUUUCUGGUUGCAAUGCAGAUUGUUCCACCAGACUCUGCAAGCCCAUGUUUACAGACAAGCAAGAUCGCCUUUGUAGUCGUACCUAAAUGCAUGUGCUUUAAUUUAAAUUUUGAUAUAUAGACCAGCCAAUGUGUAUAUGGUGUAAAAGGAUGCAACUUUAAGUAUUAUUUGAUAAUAUGUAUGUGACUUGUUGGAGAGGAUUUUUUGCUGAAUAGAUGAUUUUAAUAAAA